UUUAAUUGAAGUCAUCUAGCUUUACUCUCAUAGUAAAUUCUUGUAAUAAUCACCUUGAUAGUAAAAAUCAACGUUUGUGGAUUUCAGACUAAUAACCUCAAGAAACGUUUUAAGAAGAGUACGUUCCCUGACCCCGGCGCGAAAUUUAUGUUCCCUAUCGAAAGUAAAAAAUUAUUCAAAAGUGUUUCUUAUCGGAGCAUCGUAUCCUUUUUCAAAAGACCACAGCAGCUUCAGUAUGGACGAUUUCGAUUUAAAACUUAAAGAAGCUUGUGAGCGUGGAGAAUCUGCUAUUACGGAAUUAAUGAAUAUAUUACAGACAUCUAUUAAAGAUGUUACUCAAGCUUAUAAGGAAUCUCUUAAAAAGCAAAUUACUCUUAUCGACGAAGCUACUAAGGAAGGGGCUUCAUCAUCAAAAUGGGACGAUUUACCGCAAUUUCGAACUCAGGCAGCAGAAAUGAGCCAACAGUUUCAGAAACUUGUAGUUACAAUUAACACUUUAGGAGGAAUAGCUAAAAAUGAAACACUAAAGUACAUAACUCAACAGGAAAAGCAGUUUCAGCUUUUGUCAAAAAAACACAAGGAGCUUGAGAAAUUAAUAAUUAAACAGAUGGAAGAAAUAAAAAGCCUAGAAGAGAAAUUAUUGCAGAAAAAUCGCGAAAGUAUUGAAAAGACUAAAUAGCAAUUGUUAAUUACUAAUCUACUUCAUCAUUCCCAUCUUCACAUAAAUCACAGGAGUACUAAAUAAGAAAAGUUAUUGUUAUAAAUUUUCGGACUUAUUUGCCGUAGGGACCUCUAAAAAACCAAAGUUUUAUUAAAUAAUGAAUGCGAUAUAAGCAUACAAAGGGGUAACAAACAAAGGCGUUGUCGUCAAAAGCACCAAAACAGAACAUCUUUCAAAAAUAGUCUUCAUAAUACAAACCAACGAACCAAGCUUAUCAAAAACAUUCAAGUCCGUGAUUGUUGUGUGAAAUGCAAAGGGAUUAUUGAGUGGAAAAGAAAACAACCUAGGAGAUGUGUUCGUUGCGACCAGGGACCAGGAAAAUGUCAAACAGGAGUAUCAUGUUAUGUGUACGAAAUGUGGGAAAAAGCUGUGGGCUGGAAGAAGUGAUAACGAACAAGCCAAUUGAUCAAGAACAACAUAAACUGGAUAGCAAAAUGAAGAAGUUGUUGCUGUCUUUACCGGAAAGGAAAAUAAGGACCUUUUUAGGUAAAUGAGAAAUUAAAAAAAAAUUAAAAUAAGCUUGAAGCUCUUAAACCAAGUGACAACGGUGAUCAAAACGAUAUAGCGAUUUUGAUGAUUUUGAUCACCUGAUAAAUAACUGUAAUUUGAUUAUUGGAAGAAUAUUUUCAAUAAAUAUAUUUUCUUAAAA